rnacentral:lncRNA from 1 species
CAUGGAAUAGUUGAAGUCUUUAAUAUGUUGAGAACACAUACAGAACGUGGAAGCUAGACAAACAAGAAUCAAAUGCAGCUCAUAGAAAACAUAUAGUUCGUAUUGAUUCUGCUAUGCGAGAGAAAGAGAGAGAGUGUGUGUGUCAUGGCUAGUUGAUGUCCACUAUAUGCUGUGAAGAAGGUCGAAGAAAAAUAAAAACCAGUUGCAGUCAGAGGCUACGUUUAGUCUAUAGAUGUAUGCUAUCCAGCCAAGGAAGAAUGAACUAGGCGCAGGUGUAUGCCAUGCAUGUCAACAGAUUUUGACCCACCCUUAUGUUUGACAAUCCCGGUGCCCGGUCCAUCAGGUUCAGAUAACCUGCAUUAUCUUGCCUUUUCCGACUUUGCUUUGACACUUUCGGUAUCCCAAUAUUCACAAAGGUCCUUCCAUGCAUCCUCGUCAAUGUAUCCGGGCAUACCUCCUCCCUCAACUGCAUCAUCCCUCUUUAACUUCAUGUUGUGCACGAAGUCGCUAUACCUCAUGGCUGCCCUUUGAGACCAUUUCCUAGUUUAUAAAACAAGAAAUAUGAAGGAAUGAUCUACAUUACCUGUUAUGUUGUGAAGAGGAGGCAAGGGGGCUGAAUCUGAUCAGUUAAGACCAAGUCUGAAAUGAUAGGAAACAAUCAACAAUAAGACAUGAAGAAUUUCACUCGGCUGAGAAAAGCGUGUUGAUGAGCUAACAUGGAGAUUAGACAUUGAGAAACACCUACGAGUAUGCUGAAAAUACACUCUCCCAAUUUAAGUAAUAAUCAAAUGUCACAGCCAGCAGCAGCAAGAACGAAUUUGCAAAUAAUUUAUACAAGCAGCCACUAAUUAUAUUGUUCAGUUAUUUUUAAAACCAAACAAAUAUAUCAGAUGUUAGAGUUAUUGUCUAAGUAUUAGAUAAUUAAUUUGUGGUGAUAUGCAUCCUUCAAUUAUACGUCAUAAUAAAAAUUAAUCAUCUUGCAGAUGGAUAUUGAAGAAGCUAAGGGCAGGAAUAGCAAAUCACAGACAACAUUGACAUAAGCAAGGAAAUCNGCAUACUGCUCUUUGUCAAUGUCGGACAUAGCUGAAGUACUACUCUCUCCCGAUAUAUUGGUCUUCAAGGUCAAUGCAAGACUACCUGUGCCGAACAAUCUUUGUUUUUUUAUCUAAACCGCCUCCCAAGACAUCUAGAUAAAUCUUGUUCAUAUCCACGGGCGUAUCAGGAUUAGAUUGGCCCAUCUCUGCAGCAAUUUCUUGUACCUCCACCUAAUUGAUAAAAAAUGUUAUAUAAAACAUAUUAAAAUAUACACUAUUAAAGACAUAUACUUGUUUCAGUUAAGACCAAGUCUGAAAUGAUAGGAAACAAUCAACAAUAAGACAUGAAGAAUUUCACUCGGCUGAACAGGAAAAUCUGAAAUGAAAAACAAUAAGGCACAUAAUAUUUGUGGUGGUCUGACUCCAUUCUCUAUCUCCUUAUUUAGUUUGACAGUUGUUAAGUAGCAUAGAAAGGUUGAAUAAAUUCUUUUUCUUGAUGACUUCUUUUUCUUGAUGAAUGACCUUUUUCACCAAGUAGUUCUCUUCCAAAAACAAAGCAGAGUAAACUGACAUUUAAGCUAAUCAUUGACUCUUAGAAAUUCCUAAUUAGUCAUCUAAAAAUCUACUAAUGAAACCGAAACUAUGGUCAUCAAUGGCAAAAUGUGAGUAGGUGUGAGUUUAUAUCUAACCGUAAACAAACUGUUUAUAUCUAACAGUUUCUGCAUUGCAGGUCAGAUGAGAAAUCAGCAUGUAUUGCAUUGAUGGCUCAUGAGGUACCUAUUUAUUAUUCAGACCAUCAUUUUGUGUAUAAAUAGUUACAGAGCUCAACAUAAUUGUAAUGGAUUCUGGCUCCAGGCAAGUCUCCGACAACCUAAAUUUUAUUCGUUAGCAAAUCAAUGGACUAGCUACACAUUCACAGCAAGACGAUGAAUUUAUCAAUCGUCUUUCUGAUGCAAAACAGUAGGCAUACUAAUAUUACCAUUAAGAGCAGCAUGAUAAACUCGUUUCUCUGCUAAUCCAAUAUCUGAAAGAACCAGAUUGCCCUGCAACAUAAGAGCAACAGGAAAUUCCUUUCAGAUAAAUGUAGUAAACAACAGCCACAGUAUCACACAUAGAAAGUAUAAAGUCAAA